CCUACGGGAGGCAGCAGUGGGGAAUAUUGGACAAUGGGGGAAACCCUGAUCCAGCGACGCCGCGUGAGUGAAGAAGUAUUUCGGUAUGUAAAGCUCCAUCAGUAGGAAAGAAAAUGACGGUACCUGACUAAGAAGCUCCGGCUAACUACGUGCCAGCAGCCGCGGUAAUACGUAGGGGGCAAGCGUUAUCCGGAUUUACUGGGUGUAAAGGGAGCGUAGGCGGGAGCGCAAGUCUGGAGUGAAAUGCUGGGGUCCAACCCCGGAACUGCUGUGGAAACUGUGAGGCUGGAGUGCAGGAGAGGUAAGCGGAAUGCCUGGUGUAGCGGUGAAAUGCAUAGAUAUCAGGAAGAACACCGACGGCGAAGGCAGCUUACUGGACUGUAACUGACGUUGAGGCUCGAAGGCGUGGGGAGCAAACAGGAUUAGAUACCCCAGUAGUC
rnacentral:rRNA from 1 species